rnacentral:tRNA from 1 species
GGGGAUAUAGCUCAGUUGGUAGAGUGCUUGACUCAUGCACAAGGCCCUGGGUUCAAUCCCCAGCACCA